rnacentral:rRNA from 1 species
GACGAACGCUGGCGGCGUGCUUAACACAUGCAAGUCGAACGCUGAAGACCUGGCUUUUGUUGGGUUGGAUGAGUGGCGAACGGGUGAGUAACACGUGAGUAACCUGCCCUCUUCUUUGGGAUAACGCCCGGAAACGGGUGCUAAUACUGGAUAUUCACUGAUCUUCGCAUGGGGGUUGGUGGAAAGGUUUGUUCUGGUGGGGGGUGGGCUCGCGGCCUAUCAGCUUGUUGGUGGGGUGAUGGCCUACCAAGGCUUUGACGGGUAGCCGGCCUGAGAGGGUGACCGGUCACAUUGGGACUGAGAUACGGCCCAGACUCCUGCGGGAGGCAGCAGUGGGGAAGAUUGCACAAUGGGCGAAAGCCUGAUGCAGCGACGCCGCGUGAGGGAUGGAGGCCUUCGGGGUGUAAACCUCUUUCGCUCAUGGUCAAGCCGCAACUGUGGGUUGUGGUGAGGGUAGUGGGUAAAGAAGCGCCGGCUAACUACGUG